rnacentral:rRNA from 1 species
AGUCAAGUUAUUAAGGGCUCACGGUGAAUGCCUUGGGAUCAAGGACCGAUGAAGGGCGCGGUAAGGCUGCGAUAAGCCUCGAUUAGCCGUCUAACGGGCUUAGUCGAGGAUUCCCGAAUGGGGAAACCUGUUCCGGUGUUGAGCCGGUUCAUCUGCAUAGCAGAGGGUAAGUGGGGGAACUGAAACAUCUAAGUACCCCGAGGAAAAUAAAUCAACCGAGAUUCUCUUAGUAGUGGCGAACGAACGGGGAAUAGGCCAAACCCCUAUGACUUAGUGGUGUAAGGACCUAUGUCAUAGUGGUGUCGUAGGAGGCAUCUGAAAUCGCCUUGCCAGAUUUCAAGAAGUUACAAAACAUGAGUUUAGUCGAAGGACCCUGGGAAGGGCCGUCGUAGAGGGUGAUAGCCCCGUAGACGAAAAGUUCAUGUCUUCUGAUGCAUUUCCUAAGUACCACGGGACACGAGAAAUCUUGUGGGAAGUCGGGGGGACCACCCUCCAAGCCUAAAUAUCCUUGAUCACCGAUAGCGAACAAGUACCGUGAGGGAAAGGUGAAAAGAACCCCUAGCGGGGAGUGAAAUAGACCUGA